rnacentral:rRNA from 1 species
CCCCAAUCCACAUCCCCCGCGCCCCUCACUGGUCCCUCCUCCUCCUUCCCUCGUCCGCCGCCUCGCUCCCUCGCUCUCCUCCCUCGUCGCCGUGGCCUUCGGCCUAGGAGCCCCGGCGGCUACUGCUCCUCCUCCACCACCUCGCCUCUUUCUCCUCCUCGCCUUCCCAUCGCUCGCGCGCAUGUCACCGCCGUCGAAGAACACGGGAGUGCGGGUCUUCAAGUUGGGGUGGUCAGGAGGGCUUCCCAACCUGACGGCGCCUCCUCCUCCUCGCAGCGUCGUAGCGCGUGCACCUUCUUAUCCCCCCUCCUCCCUCCCUCGUCACUACUUCCACCAGUUCCCUCCCUUCCUCGUCUGUGGACGCUGCUGACCCCUCCUCCGGCCUCUGCGUCUCCGCCCAGGCGGCAAGGCCCCCAGCCCCCCUCGGGCCUCGGCCCCUCCGUACAGCCCGCUUCUGCCUCGUCCAACUCGCUGCUUAGCUCCCCAGGCUCGGAGGGCAGCGGGCGCGGCAGGCUUGGCAGGCAGCGGGCGCGGUGGUCAAGGCCAGGGGCGCGGAUUGGGGAGAUGCGCACACGAGGAGCGACGGCGACCGUGUCUGCCGCCAACACUGAGCUCUUCGUUCUUUCAAGCCCUAUGUUGCUUACUCAAAUGUUUGUGGCGAUUGUAUCCUUGUGCCAUGAAUAUUUGUACUUAGCAGAUCAAUAUGAACAUAUUGGUUAUCUAUUUACCAAUUCAGAAUUUAAAACACUUUAUUUUAUGGCCUUGAGUAAAAGUUCAGUCAUUGUUGGCUGGAAGACAUCUUCAAUACGCUGUCAACACGAGCUUCCCAAGGUAAUGAUCUAA